AUUGAACGCUGGCGGCAGGCCUAAUACAUGCAAGUCGAACGAGUGGCGGACGGGUGAGUAAUGUCAGGGACACUGCCCGAUGGAGGGGGAUAACUACUGGAAACGGUAGCUAAUACCGCAUACCAUCAGAUGUGCCCAGAUCGGAUUAGCUUGUUGGUGGGGGAACGGCUCACCAAGGCGACGAUCCCUAGCUGGUCUGAGAGGAGAACCAGCCACACUGGAACUGAGACACGGUCCAGACUCCUACGGGAGGCAGCAGUGGGGAAUAUCGCACAAUGGGCGCAAGCCUGAUGCAGCCAUGCCGCGUGUAUGAAGAAGGCCUUCGGGUUGUAAAGUACUUUCAGAGGGGAGGCGGUACCCGAAGAAGAAGCACCGGCUAACUCCGUGCCAGCAGCCGCGGUAAUUC
rnacentral:rRNA from 1 species